rnacentral:SRP_RNA from 1 species
GCCAGGCGUGGUGGCUCAUGCCUGUAAUCCUAGCACUUUGGGAGGCUGAGGCAGGUGGAUCACCAGAGGUCAGGAGUUCAAGAUCAGCCUGGCCAACAUGGUGAAAUCCUGUCUCUA